GGGGAACCAGGACUUUUACUGUGAAAAAAUUAGAGUGCUCCAGGCAGGCCUAUGCUCGAAUACAUUAGCAUGGAAUAAUAGAAUAGGACGUGUGGUUCUAUUUUGUUGGUUUCUAGGACCGCCGUAAUGAUUAAUAGGGACAGUCGGGGGCAUCAGUAUUCAAUUGUCAGAGGUGAAAUUCUUGGAUUUAUUGAAGACUAACUACUGCGAAAGCAUUUGCCAAGGAUGUUUUUCAUUAAUCAGGAACGAAAGUUAGGGGAUCGAAGACGAUCAGAUACCGUCGUAGUCUUAACCAUAAACUAUGCCGACUAGGGAUCGGACGGUGUUAUUUUUUGACCCGUUCGGCACCUUACGAGAAAUCAAAGUGCUUGGGCUCCAGGGGGAGUAUGGUCGCAAGGCUGAAACUUAAAGAAAUUGACGGAAGGGCACCACCAGGGGUGGAGCCUGCGGCUUAAUUUGACUCAACACGGGGAAACUCACCAGGUCCAGACACAAUGAGGAUUGACAGAUUGAGAGCUCUUUCUUGAUUUUGUGGGUGGUGGUGCAUGGCCGUUCUUAGUUGGUGGAGUGAUUUGUCUGCUUAAUUGCGAUAACGAACGAGACCU
rnacentral:rRNA from 1 species